UAAGAUUCAGAACAGAACGAAGCCACAUCCGGACGAAUUCGGAUCCCUCAAGCGUGCGCAUUUUUAGAGACACCAACGCUGCCGGUGACCUGCUGGCUGCCUUUCUCGCCUAGGACGUGGACGUGGAAGGACGUUGUGUUGUUUUGAAGUGCCUCUGUGGUGAGAAGUGUACCCUGGUGUGGGUGAGGUACCAGUUUCGGACAGCGAGCUGACAGGCGCCAGACUGCGGUGGUGAUCAGCUGACGGGAGCUUCCAGCUGAGCCUGUGAGCCAACAAGUCAAAGGUUGCUCCUCUGCCGUCUCGUGACGGACCAUCUGCCCGGCGUCAACAUCUGCAGGAGACGAGUGAGCGCACAAGAGACAAGAUAAUGGAAGACCCACUAAGCAAGCGUUCAGGAAAGCCCAACAGGGGAGAGCAAAACAACACUACAACUCCUGAGGAGAUUGAUGACAUCACUCUGCAGAUGGUUAUUAUUGUAUAUAUUUGUUAAACAAUUGAAGUAAACUAUUAAUUUUUGUGCUUGCCAUUUAUUGUUAUGUACAUGUAUGGUUCCUCUUAACAUGAUAGACAAAAGGAGGUCACUUCCGUAAUCCAGUAUGUUUGUUACACAGCAUGAGAAAUAUCACUGGGAAAGAAUCUAACUGGUGGAAUGAAUUAUUCUAAAAUUCAAGUUACCUAAACCUGUUUGUCAAAUCAACAUGAACUUAUUAAUUAUAAACUUAUUAUUAUUAACUUGUUAUUGCACUUGAAUAUAACCUCAAAUCAAUAUCAUCUCA
rnacentral:lncRNA from 1 species